rnacentral:rRNA from 1 species
AGCGAACGCUGGCGGCAGGCCUAACACAUGCAAGUCGAACGAACCUUUCGGGGUUAGUGGCGGACGGGUGAGUAACACGUGGGAACGUGCCUUUAGGUUCGGAAUAACUCAGGGAAACUUGUGCUAAUACCGAAUGUGCCCUUCGGGGGAAAGAUUGAUCGCCUUUAGAGCGGCCCGCGUCUGAUUAGCUAGUUGGUUGAGGUAAUGGCUCACCAAGGCGACGAUCAGUAGCUGGUCUGAGAGGAUGAUCAGCCACAUUGGGACUGAGACACGGCCCAAACUCCUACGGGAGGCAGCAGUGGGGAAUCUUGCGCAAUGGGCGAAAGCCUGACGCAGCCAUGCCGGGUGAAUGAUGAAGGUCUUAGGAUUGUAAAAUUCUUUCACCGGGGACGAUAAUGACGGUACCCGGAGAAGAAGCCCCGGCUAACUUCGUG